GGGCUUGACUGGAUUUGACAGCGGGUUGAGAUGGUACGUAAGCAUGCGGAGUGACGACUGUAUACUCCAUAAUCCAUUCGGUCAAAAAUUUAUCUGGCGAAAACAACUACGCUCUCGCUGCCUAAUCGAAGCAUAGUAGAUUACUGGCUUUAUCCCGCCACCAGGUGGCGGGACGAGACAUCGCUCAAAGGCUGUUGUUCCGAAGCUCUUUGGUCAAGCGGUGCGGUUUUAUCGGGAAUAGUCGUGCUAUAGCCCCGGCGGCACGAUGAAACAACAGGGGAUAAGGUGCUGGUUGGUGGUCCGGGUCUUGCCAUCACACGAAAACCAAAGUCCGGAAUAAGCAUGUAGAAAGCGUAUGGUUUCCCUGUUUGGACGAGGGUUCGACUCCCUCCAGGUCCACA
rnacentral:tmRNA from 1 species